GUGUCAGCCGCCGCGGUAAUACGUAGGGGGCUAGCGUUAUCCGGAAUUACUGGGCGUAAAGGGUGCGUAGGUGGUUUUAUAAGUCAGAGGUGAAAGGCUACGGCUCAACCGUAGUAAGCCUUUGAAACUAUAAAACUUGAGUGCAGGAGAGGAAAGUAGAAUUCCCAGUGUAGCGGUGAAAUGCGUAGAUAUUGGGAGGAAUACCAGUUGCGAAGGCGGCUUUCUGGACUGUAACUGACACUGAGGCACGAAAGCGUGGGGAGCAAACAGGAUUAGAUACCCUGGUAGUCCACGCUGUAAACGAUGAGUACUAGGUGUCGGGGGUUACCCCCCUCGGUGCCGCAGCUAACGCAUUAAGUACUCCGCCUGGGAAGUACGCUCGCAAGAGUGAA
rnacentral:rRNA from 1 species